UAGCAGCACGUAAAUAUUGGAGUUGAGCCUCUCUAGAUAUCUCCAAUAUUAACUGUGCUGCUGAA
rnacentral:pre_miRNA from 1 species